AGCGAACGGAACGAGGCCAAUGGUCCAAACGAGUAAACGACGAUAUCUUCCGUUCUGUAGCCUUAGCAGCCCCUUCGCAGAAAAACCCGGUAUUUAUUUUUGUGUCGGGAGCCGGAACAGCCAUUCCUAUUAGAAACAUUGACGCCACCAACCCUGCUUGACCUGGGCAUGGCUUUCAUCAACAAGUUUUGGAUUUUCUGUCUGGCUUUGUUUUUCCUCGCUUCACCUCUCAUGCAAGUUGCUAGGUGCCAGUCAGAUUCAGAUGAGGCUGUAGAGACCACUGAAGUAGUAAGUGAUGUUGGAAUUGUUGGUCAGAAUACUCAGGAUUUUGGUGACGAGAGCUAUUCUUCCGCUCCAGGAAUUGAUACGUUCUAUGUAUUCCCAAAGAAUGGUGCAAAAUUGGUUCCAGCUGGAGAAGAGACAGACCUACUCGUUGCUGUGAAAAAUGAUGGGGAGGCAAACUUGAAGGUUAUUGCAAUUAAAGCUAGUGUUCACUUCCCAAAUAAUCAUCACUAUGUUGUUCAAAAUCUUACUGCUCAGCUUUUUAAUUAUGCUUCUUUGCCAGCUUCAGCACAGGGUACUUUCCCAUAUACAUUUGCUGUAAGCCAAUUCUUGCAGCCUGGAGCUUUUGAUCUUGUGGGCACCAUUAUAUAUGAAAUUGACCAGCAUCCAUACCAAAGCACAUUCUAUAAUGGCACUAUUGAAGUUGUUGAGGCUGGCAGUUUUCUGAGCAUGGAGUCUGUUUUUCUUGUUACUCUCGGAAUUGCCCUUCUUGUCCUUUUUGUGCUAUGGAUUUAUGGUCAAGUUCAAAAUGCAUCCAAGAUGCAUAGAUGCUACAGGAGUAAAAGAAAUGAAGAAUUACUCCUAUCAAGUAAGAAGCACUGGAGUUGGAGAAAUUAUGUUUCUGUAUUUUCCUUACCUGGCUUCAUAAUUAUUUGGGGUAAAAGAAUCCAUUUCACCUGGAGACUAUAAGAGUGUCUCCUUUCAAGGUUCUUUCUUCAUUAAUUUCUGUGUCUGUGUCAUAGCUUAGUUAUUAUCAAGCAUUAUGCAUGUACAAUACUGAAACAGCAGCUCAUAAGAUAUUUCAAACUCUUAGAAGCAUUUCUCCAAACUACGUAUUUGCAUCUUUCCCCAUUUAAUUUUCAUAUUUGCACAUGAAUAUUUUCCUAGAAAACAAAGAAGGGCGCAAAAGUUGAAGUUGGGACAAGGACUACCUCAAUGGAUGAAUGGCUUGAGGGAACUGCAUACACCAGGUCGAACAGCAAAUCAAAGAAGAAAGAUAAAUAAUUCUUCUCAAGUUCAUACACGCAAGACAACCAUGGAGUACCGAAUCCUGCAACUCAACUAGGUUGGAGAAUUUGAAAGGGCUAAAGAAGUAGCACAACUUUAGGCAGAGAAGCUGCCCUUCUGUUUUAACCUAUGAAAGAUAUUUAACCAUUUUCCCCCUCCAUAUGAAGUUUAGUUUUCCCAAAGAGAAACUGACAGGGAUGAGUUCAGAAAAAUAAUUUUUUUUUUUUUUUUUUUUGUGAACCGCAGAUUUUUUUUAUUAUUUUUAUUGGUUAGAGUUAGAUGCUGUUCUUACAAUCUAGAUUCUGUUCUUCUUGUGGACUUAAUUUAAAUUGGAUUAUUGAUGUUUGGCCGUAGUUUAUAUUUUGUUCCA